rnacentral:tRNA from 1 species
UGUAGGGUGAUGAAAUUGGCAGCCAUGCCCGCUUGUCUCGCGGGUGGGGAGGCCGGAACAAACCACCGUUCAAUGCUCCGCGUGAGCGCGGCUCUUCGGAGCCAUGAAUAGUGGCUAACCGCCCCGUGCAGGUUCGACUCCUGCCCCUACAG